rnacentral:rRNA from 1 species
AGUGAACGCUGGCGGUAGGCCUAACACAUGCAAGUCGAACGGCAGCACCGUAAGAGCUUGCUCUUACGGGUGGCGAGUGGCGGACGGGUGAGGAAUACAUCGGACUCUACUUUUUCGUGGGGGAUAACGUAGGGAAACUUACGCUAAUACCGCAUACGCCCUACGGGUGAAAGCAGGGGAUCUUCGGACCUUGCGCGAUUGAAUGAGCCGCUGUCGGGUUAGCUAGUUGGCGGGGUAAAGGCCCACCAAGGCGACGAUCCGUAGCCGGUCUGAGAGGAUGAUCAGCCACACUGGAAGUGAGACACGGUCCAGACUCCUACGGGAGGCAGCAGUGGGGAAUAUUGGACAAUGGGCGCAAGCCUGAUCCAGCCAUACCGCGUGGGUGAAGAAGGCCUUCGGGUUGUAAAGCCCUUUUGUUGGGAAAGAAAAGCAGCAGGUUAAUACCCCGCUGUUCUGACGGUACCCAAAGAAUAAGCACCGGCUAACUUCGUG